rnacentral:rRNA from 1 species
UGGCGGCGUGCCUAACACAUGCAAGUCGAGCGUGAACCUUAGAAUAGAACUCGGUCGAAUGAAGAGGGGAAGCGGCGGACGGGUGAGUAACGCGUAGGCAACCUGCCCCGUACAGAGGGAUAGCCUCGGGAAACCGGGAUUAAAACCUCAUAAUACCAUGGUGUCACAUGAUGCAAUGGUCAAAGAUUUAUCGGUAUGGGAUGGGCCUGCGUCUGAUUAGCUGGUUGGUGGGGUAACGGCCUACCAAGGCAACGAUCAGUAGCCGACCUGAGAGGGUAAUCGGCCACAUUGGAACUGAGACACGGUCCAAACUCCUACGGGAGGCAGCAGUGGGGAAUAUUGCACAAUGGGCGAAAGCCUGAUGCAGCAACGCCGCGUGAGCGAAGAAGGCCUUUGGGUCGUAAAGCUCUGUCGGGAAGGAAGAUAAUGACGGUACUUCCCGAGGAAGCCCCGGCUAACUACGUGCCAGCCGCUGC